rnacentral:rRNA from 1 species
UACGGAGGGUGCGAGCGUUGUCCGGAAUCACUGGGCGUAAAGGGCGCGUAGGCGGCCUGGUAAGUAGGGGGUGAAAUCCUGCGGCUUAACCGCAGGGCUGCCUUCUAAACUGUCAGGCUAGAGCACGGUAGAGGCAGAUGGAAUUCCCGGUGUAGCGGUGGAAUGCGUAGAGAUCGGAAGAACAUCAGUGGCGAAGGCGGUCUGCUGGGCCGUUGCUGACGCUGAGGCGCGACAGCGUGGGAGCAAACAGG